rnacentral:rRNA from 1 species
CCAUGCCGCGUGUGUGAAGAAGGCCUUCGGGUUGUAAAGCACUUUCAGUCGUGAGGAAGGUAGUGUAGUUAAUAGCUGCAUUAUUUGACGUUAGCGACAGAAGAAGCACCGGCUAACUCCGUGCCAGCAGCCGCGGUAAUACGGAGGGUGCGAGCGUUAAUCGGAAUUACUGGGCGUAAAGCGCAUGCAGGUGGUUUGUUAAGUCAGAUGUGAAAGCCCGGGGCUCAACCUCGGAAUAGCAUUUGAAACUGGCAGACUAGAGUACUGUAGAGGGGGUAGAAUUUCAGGUGUAGCGGUGAAAAUGCGUAGAGAUCUGAAGGAAUACCAGUGGCGAAGGCGGCCCCCUGGACAAAGACUGACGCUCAGAUGCGAAAGCGUGGGGAGCAAACAGGAUUAGAUACCCUGGUAG